GGUAACCUGCCCAUGUGCCCGGGAUAACUUCUGGAAACGGAUGCUAAAACCGGAUAGGUAGCAGACAAGCAUUUGACUGCUAUUAAAGUGGCUAAGGCCAUGAACAUGGAUGGACCUGCGGUGCAUUAGCUAGUUGGUGAGGUAACGGCCCACCCAAGGCGACGAUGCAUAGCCGGCCUGAGAGGGCGGACGGCCACAUUGGGACUGAGACACGGCCCAAACUCCUACGGGAGGCAGCAUG
rnacentral:rRNA from 1 species